CCGCGCGGCAAUGGUCGUCCUCCGGAGCACCAAAGGCGCAGAAAACAUAACUUGAGUUGUGCGGGAUUACGGGCGCGGCUCUCUGCUCGUCCCUCCAUCCCCGGGUGUUGUAAUCGGCAUGCGGCUACCGGGACCAAGGCUUCACGGCCCCCGGCACCGUGCCACAACAUACCGUGAGUGUGCAGGAUGUGACCCGAAAGAUGGUGAACUAUGCCUGAUCAGGUUGAAGUCAGGGGAAACCCUGAUGGAGGACCGAAGCAGUUCUGACGUGCAAAUCGAUUGUCAGAAUUGGGCAUAGGGGCGAAAGACCAAUCGAACCAUCUAGUAGCUGUUUCCCUUCCGAAA
rnacentral:rRNA from 1 species